AUGAAACUUUAAAUGAUGUCUCAUAUCUGCUUACAGAUUUAAGUGGAACCUCUGCAAUGAGACCUGAAACUAAGGAAUUAACAAAGGAGGCAAUUUUAAGACCACAUAAAAAAUGUUCAUAUAUGCACCAUCCGAUGCUCAUCGCAUCUGUUUUGGACUGCGGAUUCUUGGUCGACGUCGAGGGAUAGAUCGAUUGAGAUUAAGUGUUUAUGAUAUUGGCACGCGAUGAACUUACGGUAGGUAGAAUGAAGAAAUGAGAUCAUUUGACAUAUAAAGUGAUACGAGUGAUCAUUAUUGGAGUGAAAUCUAACGGUGAUAAUUAUAUAUAGGCAUGGGAAUUCGUCGAUCAUGGCAUCGUAGCAACUCUUAUAUAUUACGCGGAUAUGAGGUCCAAGACUAGUAUGUAGGACAUGGGCCACUCUUCUUUACCUGUUUGUAGCAGACACAAUUUUCAUUAUUCUGAGAUGUCAGCACCAAAGCUUUCAUGGCUUUUACAAUGGCUAAACCAACCCUUGGAAAAGGAAGUGUCAAUGUUUGCUUCAGGAGACUUAAAAGUAACAUAUGAACAUGGUAGUUAGACUGCCUAUCUUUAUUUUCUCACCUUUUAUUUGUACCUUAGCUUUUAUGUCUGCAACGGAGAGAGAAAGGUUAGGUGGGAAUUGGUUUGA
rnacentral:lncRNA from 1 species